GAAGCCUAACAGUUUGCCACAAAAAAGUUGGUACUAAGCUUUGAGCCCCAAGUUUCCACAGGCAGUGACAACUGAAAACCUGGAUUGCGUUGCUGAAGAAGCAGGAGACAGUGAGAGGACAAGUGAGAUUCGGAGAACAACCCUCUGACCUUUAGAAGGAAACAGCUGUCACUUCCGGAAGCAUCCUGCUUUUCUGUCAAGUUUGAAGAAAAAUGUUGAACAGGUACAGUGUCAUUUGAAGAAAUACAAAUAAGGAAUAAUGUAGAGUAAUUGAAUAGUGAGCAAAUCCACUUGAAAACAUUUGCUAGCAAGUCAGUCAAUAGAAUGUUGUUCCACACGUUUCCAUUUGAAGAGAUUCUCAUUUUAUGUGUUAUAUGCUGUCUUGCUUAGAUAAUGCUACAUGUUUAAUCUUUCAUAUAAAGAUUCCUUCCCCUUUAAAAUCCCCAUUAAGUCCAUCAGAGUUACAUUUGAAAAUAAUUCCAGCUUCUAAGUCAUUCAUGAACUUCGUAUAGUUAACACUCUCAGGGAGGAUUUUUUUUUUUCAUUUGAGUAUGAUUAAUUUGUCAAAUUUGAUUGCCUCAUACUUGGGCUUAGUUUUCACCAGUGUAAUAGGAGUUCAGAAUGGUAUCUGACUUGACUAUAUUUGUAUAUUGAGAGAAUAUAGGCAAAUGCUGCAUAUGAUGUGAAAUUCGCAGGCAUGUGCCACGUUGUAAAUCCUUACUUACACAGCACUAGAAACUUCUAAAGCAUAAGGAAUAGCCUCAUUUCAAAACCUGCUUUAAUUGUCAGUACCUGCUACCUAGAAAUUGAUGGGCUUUUAUUCAUGCUUAUUUCUUUCUGUUAAGCAUAAGUUGGUGGCUGUUAAAGGUUCCCUCCUCAGUCUGGAAACAGUCAUGGGAGUUCACUCGUAAAAAGAAGAGCAAGGUGGAUGCGUAAGAAAUAUGGGAUUUUGCAGGGAAAGGAACAAAAUAAGAACAUAGUCCAGAGCUUGUAGGCCAGCACUUGGUUUGAUUCAAGCUGAUUUGCCUCUAGCUACUUUUGCCCCUUCCUCUCUGCCCUUAUUACAUUUGAUGGUGUUGCAGGAGGCACGGAUAUUACUGUGUGAGAUGCAAUGCCCACUAUGUGUUCAUGCAACACCAUUGCAAUACAUAUAAUUUGUACUAUCCAUGUUUGUGGACAUGCAACAUAAAGGAGCACAAAAUAAUCCUCUGGAAUGCUACAGUUGUUGGCCAUUUUGUUAUAUUUUGUUCUAUUCUGUAGCCUGAAUCAGCCAUCAACCUUAUUUCUGUUCUUAAAGGGAAAAUGACCAUGUUCAUUUUACAGGAUUAAAAAGAUUGAGUUUUCCUGUAAAAUUGCAGUGUAGAAUUUGUUGUGAACCAAAUAGAGCUGACUCCAUUGACUACAGCAGAAUAAUUUGCAGCCAGAAUUGAAUUGUGCUCUUAAAAUCUAAUUUUAACAAGGUUUUCAGAAAUAGGCUGAAGUAGCUUGUUUUUUGUCCUCUGUGCAUUUUGAAUUUUAGGGAAAACCUAAACUUAGUGUGUUAAUGCAGUUGUAGCAUAUGGUUAUGGAAUAGAAAUGGUUUUUCAUGAAAACCCAGUUUAAGUUACUGUGUUGAACCUCUCAGUACAGCUGGAUUCUUCAUUCAGAUUCUCUGUAAAUUCCUGAUCUCAAGAUAAUUCAAACACACAAUUAUCACAGAGGUUUUUUUGAAGCCCAUGCGGGGCUACUCCAAACAGGAGGUGCAAUAGGAAGCUCCGCUGUAU